AUCCACAUGGAUGAUCAUUGCAAGACAGGACGAACGUACAUAGGCAAAUGGACAACACAAGGAAAAACGAAAGGGUAAGCUUACAUAAUUUAAUUCAUACAUCAACAUAUACAUUUAACAUUUCAAUUCACACACAACAUGUAACUUAACAUAGAAAUUUAUAUAUAUAGAUAUACUAGACAGACCGUCCGGACUGUAUGAAUCUGUGUAGCUACAGGCGUCCUUGCACCCGGGUGAUGUAGUAACUGUAAUAAUCACAUCAGCUGCCACCCGAGGUUAGUCCGUUCUUACGUCGCCCAUGUUAACUUAUGGACUAAGGACCUCCUGCCAUUCCCACACAUGAACUACUCUCCUCUACGUGAAGAUGAGUAUCACGGAAUAUCAGGAUGGACCAAGCCAGCAUUAGCAUGCCCACAGUCAUACUUUACCAAUCCAAUAUUCAACAUAUAUGAGACGUUCCUCCCUGGAACGCUCGUCCAAAAUCCAAUAUCAUAAUAUCACUCCAUAUAGUGUUCACACUUUAAGUUAUCAUAAUUCAUCAUCAUUUACAUCUUUAGAUUUAAGAGCAUAAAAUGACGAACGUUCAGUCCUCUUGAAGAAUUAGGACGAACGUCUAGAUGAAGGUACGGAAUAAACAGGGAAGUAUACAACGAACGUUACUAUCGGAUUCGGCCAGUUAAAUGAACUGACUCGUUUGGACGUACCGUGGUACUUAAAGAAAAUUUCGUUAUGAAGACCUUAGACCAGAUCCAAUGUAAAAAGAAGAGUCAAGAAUAUUUAGAACUAUCUUUGUAGUAAUUCGCAUACAGAAGACCGAUGCCAAUAAUUGAAUGAACGUGAGAGAAGAUGAAUAUUAUAGUCCUUUGAACGAACGCUAUUUAUCAAUGUGGGUAUCCAAUAAUACGAACGAGCACCACUUAUGACGAACGCUAGGUAGAUGACCGAGCAUCAAUUAUGACGAACGCUUGGUAUAAGACCGAGCGCUAUUAAGGACGAACGCUUGGUAUAAGACCGAACGCUAUUUAGGACGAACGUUCGGUGUAAGACCGAACGUUACUCAUUUCAGUUUUAUUCAAUUUAAGGUGUACGACAUCUCUAUGCUGAGCCAAACGCUCAAACAUAGUAAUUCGAAAUAAGGACGCUCGUUCUCAAAUCGAAUUCUUCCCAAAUGAAAGAAUUUUACUCUAAGUAAUUUUCAGGAAAACCGAACGGUAUAAGACCGUACGAUGAUGAGCGUAAUUUAUCAUAGGGAAAUUAUCAUAUCCAGAUUUUCAACUAAGUUAACUCAACCUUUCUCAUGUGAUUCCUACUUUGAAAAUUCAUAUCCAUUAUCAAUUCUCAUACUAUACAGAUUUCAUUAUAUUAAUAAAUCAAACUAUACUAUAAUCAUACACCUUUCAUACGUAUCCAAAUCAACAUGCAUUUCAAACAACAGAAAACAUAUUCAAUAUUAGUGAUCGUUCAUAACAGCUAAAUCGGCAUACUUUUCAUACAUCCAAGUCAAAUCAUACAACAUGCAAGUAUAAAUUAAAUAUAUAAACUUCCCUUACCUGGAUUGGUAAGCAACUUAUCCUAAACUCAAGAUUUUUGGUUUCGUCCAACUAACGUUUUUCUACCCUCAAUGUCACUUGACUCUUCCAAAACAAUUCUAGCCACAGGAAAAACGAAAUACCUAGACUACACACUUGCAUGCAGCUAAAACUUAACUUUUCAGGAAAUCUAAGAACGAAUAACUAAGGAAGACACUUACCAGCUUCAGCUUCUGAAAUCGAACGGUUCUUCUUGAAGCCCUUGUCACCAGGAGUCCUUCUAUGGUGUCGGAAUCGUGAUCGGAGGAGAUGAGACGGUGGUGAUCUUAGAGAAAAGGUGGGGGAGUCGUAGAGAGAAGGAGGAGAGAAAAGAAUUCUCCAGAAUUAUGAGAGGAGUGUGCGUGUAGAGCGAGAGAUGAAUUUUUCUGAGAAUGCAGGCUUUGUUUCCAAUGUCGAACGAACGUCCGCUUCUCGUCAGCCACGUGCAUUCCACUAACGCUUUCCAGACUCCUCUCGUCGUGACACCUGGCGUUCGUUAGUGAACUGUCGCGUUCUCCGAGUGACACGCAAACUGCACUGCGUUCCCCACUCCAGACUCCAUGCAGCGUGACACCUAGCGUCCGCUUUUGGAAUACUUCUUCCUGUUGCUGCCACGUACGCUGUUGAGGUGUCUCGUUCUCCAGCUGCCACGCGCACUCCAGAGUACGUUAUUUUCCGGGGUCUUACAAUGAUGCUGAAGGAAUUGUGGGGAAGAAUGAUGCCGAAGCUAUAUUGCAAGAGAAGGAGGAUGCCGAAGCUAUAUUGCAAGAGAAGGAGGAUGCCGAAGCUAUAUUGCAAGAGAAGGAGGAUGCCGAAGCUAUAUUGCAACCAUUGCUAGAGGAUGGCGCAACGAUAUUUCAACAUCUCCCUGAAGAUAUUAUGAUCCUGAUAUUGAGUCAAUUACCCAUCUUAAGUGAUAUUUCUAGAUUUGAAUGUGUGUCUAGGUUUUGGUGCAAUAUUAUACCUACAAUUUAUUUUCAAAGGUUGAAUUUUUAUACAAAAUUUAAACUUGGUGGAUAUUUGCAACCUCCGUAUUAAGAAUGGAGUGCAAGGCUUAGGUUUCUUUUUGGCAAUUAUCUUGAGUAUACAUAUACAUAGUGUGUUUCAGAAACUUUGUUUUGUAUUUUCUGUCAAAUGUUUCAGAUACUUUGAUUUGUUCAUAGAUUUGAUCUGUGAAUCUGAUGUUUGUGUAAGACAAAAGUUUUGAAAAUAAGUUAGGUGUUAUUCAACUCUCACAACAAAUAUAUAUUUGCUAUUUUAUAUCCAUUGGAAUAUAUAUCUUCUCGAUAAUAUAAUUUUACUAUUAGAUAAAUUUUAAUUCAAACUGACUAUUUUUGUUUAAUAAUAUAUAUUCUUGUAUAUUGAUAAUUAAUUCUUAAUAAUUUACUCUUGCUUAUAUUUUUCACGUGAUUUUUUGUUUUAAUUAUAAAUAAACAAUGUUGUUGGUUUAACAGUCAAUUGUAAAUUCACAUAGAAAAUAAUAUAUAUACAUAUAAAUAUUAUAUAUAUUCUUUUUAAAAUGAACUUUUAUGUAUUUGUGUAUAAUUUUGCCUAUAAUUAUUCUUUACGACAUUACGCGGCUUAUAUAAUCUGAACCGAAUGCUGGAUGUUAUUACAUAACAUAUUAUUUUGAUAAUGAGAAUUUAUUGACUUUAAUUAUUAUAGAUUUGAAACUGCAGACGGUGCGGUUUGUAGGAAAAGAAAAUCCAGAUCCAUUAAUCCAUUAAUUUAAUUUAACAUAUAUAAAAGAAAGGAAUGAUAUUUUGAAUUUAUCCGAAAGCUAAGAAAUCAUUUGUGAAUAAAAAACACAUAAUCUAAAAAUGAUUAAAAAAUGUGUGGCAAUGAUGUGUAAAAAUUAAGAAUAAAAAAAUUGCAGGAAAUGGUGAAGUUGAGAAGUAAAAAGGUUGUGGAUCAGAUAAGCGUGAUGAUGCAAUGCAAGACAACUUCAUUGAAGGAAGAUUUGAUUUGGUUGAAUAUGUGAACUGUGUGAAAGUCAAGGAAGAUAGGUUUGAGAAACAGAGAAGUUCGGGUCGUGUCUGACCAUCAACAAACGUUACUAUUAAUUAUAAAAGUAUGAUUCUGACAAGAGAAGCGACAACUGCAAUGGGAUAAUCCUCUCUGCUUCAUUCUCAAAAAACAACAAACAAGAUCUCUCAGAUUUGGAUCCUCCGAAUCUCCCUCCUUUUCAUUUUCUCAUUUUUAUUAUUAUUAUUAUUAUUAUUAUUAUUAUUAUUAUUAUUAUUAUUAUUAUUAUUAUUAUUAUUUUUCUUCACAACCCUUUCUUUUCUCCUACCUCUCCACCAUUCAAUAUAAACCAUUACCCUCUCUCUCUUUCUUCUUACCUUUAUUUUAUACUAUACCUUUCUUCUGCCCAUUCUUUUUCUUAAAUCAUCUCUUCCUCCUUUUUUCUUCUUAAUUCAAUCCAAGAUUGCUGCCGCCAGCGUUGUUUUCAGGCCGGAAGUGGGUUCCGGGAAGCUCCACGUCCGUCCUUGCCGUUGAUGACAGCCACGUCGACCGCAAGGUUAUUGAGAGGUUGCUCAAAUCUCUUCUUGCAAAGUGACGGUGGUGGAAAGUGGAAGCAGGGCUCUGCAGUAUCUGGGGUUGGAUGGAGAGAAGAGCUCCAUUGGUUUUGAUGUGCAUAUUUGGCUUUUUGAAUUCUUAAAGGACUUCUUUUUGGUAGUGUUUAGGAGUGGUACUUAUGUUGUUUGAUGAAUGUUGUGAGAGUGUGUAACAUCCCAUAAUACAUAAAUAACCAUAAAUCAGAAUUAA